ACCUGAGUGGCUCAGUCAGUUGGGUGUCUGACUUCAGCUCAGGUCAUGAUCUCAUGGUUCGUGGGUUCAAGCCCCACGUCGGGCU
rnacentral:tRNA from 1 species